GGACUAUAGUGCAGUGACAGUACAUCUGCUUUGUAUGCAGAAGGUUUCAGGUUCAAUCCUUGGCAUCUUCU